GAGUGGCGAACGGGUGAGUAAUGCAUCGGAACGUGCCCAUCGAUGGGGGAUAACUGCGCGAAAGCGUUGCUAAUACCGCAUACGACCUACGGGUGAAAGCAGGGGACCNCAAGGCCUUGCGUCGAUGGAGCGGCCGAUGCCGGAUUAGCUAGUUGGUGAGGUAAAGGCUCACCAAGGCGACGAUCCGUAGCUGGUCUGAGAGGACGACCCAGCCACACUGGGACUGAGACACGGCCCAGACUCCUACGGGAGGCAGCAGUGGGGAAUCUUGGACAAUGGGCGAAAGCCUGAUCCAGCAAUGCCGCGUGUGGGAAGAAGGCCUUCGGGUUGUAAACCACUUUUGGCGGGAAAGAAAUGGUCUGUGCUAAUACCACGGAUUGAUGACGGUACCCGCAGAAUAAGCACCGGCUAACUACGUG
rnacentral:rRNA from 1 species